GACGAACGCUGGCGGCGUGCUUAACACAUGCAAGUCGAACGGAAAGGCCCUGCUUUUGUGGGGUGCUCGAGUGGCGAACGGGUGAGUAACACGUGAGUAACCUGCCCUUGACUUUGGGAUAACUUCAGGAAACUGGGGCUAAUACCGGAUAGGAGCUCCUGCUGCAUGGUGGGGGUUGGAAAGUUUCGGCGGUUGGGGAUGGACUCGCGGCUUAUCAGCUUGUUGGUGGGGUAGUGGCUUACCAAGGCUUUGACGGGUAGCCGGCCUGAGAGGGUGACCGGCCACAUUGGGACUGAGAUACGGCCCAGACUCCUACGGGAGGCAGCAGUGGGGAAUAUUGCACACUGGGCGGAAGCCUGAUGCAGCAACGCCGCGUGCGGGAUGACGGCCUUCGGGUUGUAAACCGCUUUCGCCUGUGACGAAGCGUGAGUGACGGUAAUGGGUAAAGAAGCACCGGCUCACUACGUG
rnacentral:rRNA from 1 species